AAAAGAAGCCAAAACCCUGAGAUCUCGCCCUUAAUCGUCAGACUAGCGAGAAGCAAGAACAUAGGUUUUUCCCAGUGAAAAACACGAGGGUUUUGCCCGCAAAGAUUUUCUGUCUCUCACACAUUUAAGUAUAACUCCCUCUCUCUCUCGCACUCACACACACACUGUAAUUGUUGUUUGUAGCUGUAAUUGAUUUAUUUAUAGUUCACAAAUAAAAUGGUUUUGGAGGAUUCAUAUUGCCAAUUUCAGACUAUUUGAUUUAUUUGUAGCUCACCAUUUUUUUUUCUGAUUUCUAUAAAUUGUCCUUGUUUAGUGGUGCAUUUUAUAUGGAUUUCCUUGAAAAAUGUUGUAUCUUGAGAAGUUAUUUUUGGAUCAUUUUUUAGUAUUUGGUUGGAUAUAGAAGUAGGUGACUUAUGGUAUUCCUAUAAACUACUAGCAUGGGCGGAGCUAAAUUGAAGAAAAGGCAGGGGGGGGGGGGUUCAAUUGAAUCCCUUUGUCGAAAAAUUACAGUAUGCUAAUACGGCAGAAACUAACUAUUUUUUUGUUAUAUUUAAACUGUUGAACCCACUUGACAUGAGUAAAAAUUCUAGUGAAGUGGCAAAGGAUUCAAAAAAUUUCCUUAGAUCAUAGGUUCCAAUUUCAGGCAUGACAAUCUAGUUUUUUUUUGGGGUUGAGAAAGUAACAUAACAAUCUAGUAAUUUUUGAAUCCCCUUGUAUGAAAUCCUGGCUCCACCACUACUAUUACGCGGAAACUAGAGGAUAGGGUGUGAUGGUGGUGUUUGGUAGUAGUUUUUAGUGUUUGCUUGGUAGCAAUAUCUAAUUGUUGGUUGAAUCAAAUGAUAUGAAGUAAGGAUUGAGGCUUGAGAUAUUUGUAAAGAAAAUAAUUUCCACUAGUAAGCUGCAAUGUAAGUUGUUUUCUCCUAUUUGCUGGAUAAUGUUGUCCUUGGAGAAUACAAUUUCUCGAUUUUGAGGUAAGAAAAUUAUGUAAAAGGAUUUCGUCAAGGAAAACAUUGAUGGCUGAAUAGUUAAAGCACCCAACUCAUUAUUGUCGACUUCGUAGGGUUCUCGUCUAAAUUGUUUGCUUUAUCUUAGUCUUCCACACUCUUUGUUGCCUUCGUGUAGUCAAUGGGCUUUUGUUGGUCUGUAAAGUUUUUCUUUCUGUUCGUGUCAAAUUGUCCUUCUCUUAUUCUUAUAUCUUUUAAUUUGACAACAUUUUAAGGGAGUUUCCCUUGUGGAAAGAUUCUAUUCAUCAAGUUACCUACAAAAGAGAAAAGGAGUGUAUUCUACUCUUCAAGUUUGUUACCAAUCUCAGUGAUUACAAAUUGUUUUUUCGAUCUAACAAAAAUUAGUUAAGAACUCUGUCUAUGUGAGUUUUGGAUAGCUGGUCUGAGCUAAAAUGAAGGAGGAGGGUUGCAGCAAGUUGACAUGCAACGGAAAUAUUAAUCAUAAUAUGAUGAAUCUCUAAAGAUUUUAUAAGGAGGAUUCACACAACCUACAACCACUAGUUUGGAAUCGAGGUUUAGUUGAUCAAACAAUGUUUAGGACAACUUCUGCAUAGAUCUUGCUGUCUUUUUGUUUUUUGGUCACUCAGAGAGGUUGCUACUUCAAAAACGGAAUCUGAAAUUAACUCAUGAAUUAUUCAGUAUCUUGAUUACGCCAGAAGUAGAGAACACCUAUUUCUGUUAUUUACCUCUUCAGAGCUGGAAACGUUAUCCAAAAAUUCUUUGGAAUCCAUCGGAUGCUGAUCUGUCGGAGAUGAUUUUUCUUUCAGGAUAGGAAAACUAAAUGUUGGCCAGAGGCAGAAAAGUUGCUGGGAAGGGGGAGACAGUGGCUGCACAUUAUGCUUUUGGCCCACUUGAAGAUGAUUUUAUUAUUAAGCAUAGACUUCUUACUCGCACAACAACCACUAGAGGUGAACCGCCG
rnacentral:lncRNA from 1 species